AAAAAAGAAUCAAUUCAUCAUUUUCCGAUAACUAGAUCUAUGUCCGACUCCUUUCUAAUGAAAACGAGCAAAAGUAAAACGAGUCUCUCGUCGCGCGCUAUAACGGGGUGUUUGCGGUAUUGUCCUCUCUGGUGAUGAUAAGCUAGUCGAUAGUCAAAAGUUAAAUAUCACCAUAUAUUGUCAGUGAGUUGGUCAUCGUUUGUUGAUUAUUAAAGUGAGAUAGGUGUAGCCAAUGUGCACCAAUGAAAAAUACAAUGGAAUUGAUAGCAACCAUAUUCUUUCGGUUUUCGAUCUGCAUAUGUUGCCACGUAGGCUACCAUACUACAGAAUUAUAUUUAACGAUAUUUAACUGUAUUAGAUCUAUGUUAAUAAACGUAGUGACAAAUAAAUUUCAAUAAAUAUUUAGAGCUGUUUCAACUUCGUCUGGUAUUGUAUAAGCCAUUGCAUUUUGUUUAUUUCCCCAUGUUUCUAAUCUUUGUAAAUGUUAGAACAUAUAUAACUAUCCUGGCAUAUUAAUAUGGAAAAUAUGAAGGUAGAUCUAAGUAUUAAAAAAAAUCACAGUUUUAAUUAGGAUAAAUACCCCAAAGUGUUAACACUUUUAUCACUUAUUGGUGGGCCAAUUCAUAAUUCAUAUUCAACAUUCUUGCUUCAAAUAUGGGAACUAUUUAUUUUAUUUGGCAAUAUAUAUUUUUCAUUUAUGUACAUAAUUUUCAAAUAAGGUUUUAGAAACUUGGCCAUGAUAUUCACUUGAAUCACUAGUUUGAGUGUACAGCAGAAAGGUAAAGUUACUGCUUUUGAAAAACUACAGUUGAUCUGUUGACUGAUAAAACUAUUUGCCAAUAUUACUAUCAGUUACAUCAUACUCUAUUAGUCUAAGUAAAUGGGAUUUAUCUAUACAGUACUGGUUUAUUUAAGAAUGUGAUACUUUGUGGUUUCUGUUUUUCUUUCAGGUGGAGAAAACAGUAUUGUGGGAGCGUAUUUGUUUAAAGUACAUAUCACUGACAGAAAGUUACCAAGGCAUAAGGAGAGACUGAGGAUACAGUUGAAGAUCAUCCCUGUGACUUUUCAUUUGAGGACUGAAAAGGCUCCCCAGCAACUCAGCCCAUGUUCUGACUUGUCAUUUAACAAAUAAAUAAAGGUCACCUCAA